rnacentral:misc_RNA from 1 species
GAUGAAGAACGUAGCGAAAUGCGAUAAGUAAUGUGAAUUGCAGAAUUCAGUGAAUCAUCGAAUCUUUGAACGCACAUUGCGCCCGCCAGUAUUCUGGCGGGCAUGCCUGUUCGAGCGUCAUUUCAACCAUCAAGCCCCAGGCUUGUGUUGGGGACCUGCGGCUGCCGCAGACCCUGAAAACCAGUGGCGGGCUCGCUGUCACACCGGGCGUAGUAGAUUUUAUCUCGCUCAGGGCGUGCUGCGGGUUCCGGCCGUUAAAAAGCCUUUUUUACCCAAGGUUGACCUCGGAUCAGGUAGGAAGACCCGCUGAACUUAAGCAUAUCAAUAAGCGGAGGA